rnacentral:rRNA from 1 species
UGGCUAACUCCUACGGGAGGCAGCAGUGGGGAAUUUUGGACAAUGGGCGCAAGCCUGAUCCAGCCAUUCCGCGUGCAGGAUGAAGGCCCUCGGGUUGUAAACUGCUUUUGUACGGAACGAAAAGGCUCUGGUUAAUACCCGGGGCUCAUGACGGUACCGUAAGAAUAAGCACCGGCUAACUACGUGCCAGCAGCCGCGGUAAUACGUAGGGUGCGAGCGUUAAUCGGAAUUACUGGGCGUAAAGCGUGCGCAGGCGGUUUUGUAAGACAGGUGUGAAAUCCCCGGGCUUAACCUGGGAACUGCAUUUGUGUCUGCAAGGCUGGAGUGCGGCAGAGGGGGAUGGAAUUCCGCGUGUAGCAGUGAAAUGCGUAGAUAUGCGGAGGAACACCGAUGGCGAAGGCAAUCCCCUGGGCCUGCACUGACGCUCAUGCACGAAAGCGUGGGGAGCAAACAGGAUUAGAAACCCCAGUAGUCCAGCUGG